AUAAAGGAUUUUCUUAAAUCCACACAUGCAUAACAUUUUCAU
rfam:Anolis carolinensis unplaced genomic scaffold chrTn0099, whole genome shotgun sequence.